UUCUGGUAAAAAGUUAAGAAAGAAAGAAAAACAGAGGGGGAGCGAGAGUGAGAACGAGAGCGAAGGAGAGAUCGAACGAGCGGUAGAGGGAGCUCAAGAAGGAGCAGGUGGAAGAAGAAGAAAGGAAGGGCAGACAGGAGGAUGUGAGAGCGGGAGCUAGGGCUGAGGACACCGAUAUUGUGCAUCCUAAGGUCAAGUUGGUGAACCAUUUUGGGUGUUCGCCAUGGGAUGAUCAGACCGCUGAUUCGGAGGAAUAUAAAACGUACGAUUAGGCCACUGAACUGGCAAAAUAUAAAACGGACGAUCAUGCCAGUGAACCGGUAGAAUAUAAGACCGACGAUCAGGCUGCUAAUCAAGCAGAAUAUAAAAUGGACAUUAGGCUCUUACUACGAGAGAAUAAUAGGCAACCCCGCUUAUGAGAUUUGAUAUGAGGAGAUUGUGGAUGAUGCAUGCAGGGUCACGGUACAUUCAGAACUCUGUCACAAGGGAAUGCGUCUCUAUGGCUAGUAUUUGUUAUAUUGAAAUUAUUGCUGAGUUUAGAUUAUAUUGAAUCGAUGAAGGAUAUCACGAUUCGAGGUUGGUGAGUGAAUAUAUAAUAAAAAAAAUUGUUUUAUAAUGAGUGUUGUAAGACAAGUGAUAUGUGGUUGUUUGUGAAUAUUCAUUGCAUAAGUAAAUAAUUUUAAUAUUUCAUUUUAUCGUGGAA